rnacentral:rRNA from 1 species
ACGAAACCAAUUAUUUACAGCACCGUCGGCUUGUCGAAAACUAUGCCUAAGAAACGUUCGAAUAUCCCCUUUAUUGCGCAGUGUCGGCUUAAAACAACUCUUCCUCGCCAACGAUGUUCCACUUCCACUUAAGUUGCGACUUUGUGCCGACAACUGAACGACACUGUUUCGCAGCGUGCAGUACGAAUCGUCCAUUUCAAGUGAAUUAUUCUCUUUUUCAAUGGAUAAAGAAAGCCGAUCGCAUUUGACGGAGCUGUGAACGGUCGACUGACACUGGCUAUCACUAAUAGGCAACGGCUUGUUCAAAUCGACCACCAGCGAAGAAGAAAUGCUUUUCCAAAUGCUCUUGUUGGCAGAUUUUAUUGCAGUUAAAGUGUUGUCCGGGCAUUUCAUCCUUUUACAUUUGGCGAACACUGCAUCAACGUUGUUGUAAUAUUCCAACGAAUCUAUGAACCGUUGAUUCAUAUAUCUGUGAGCAAUGCAAGCUACACAACCGCAACGCAAUUCACCUAUUAAUCUACUAUUUCUACCCAGCUUCAUUUUUGAACGCAAAUUCACGUUCGCUUUUCCUUGUGCAAUGACGAAAUCACAAGCCUUCAAGCAAUGCUUCUCAUUUGCAAUUUCUUCACUUUUGCAAUUCAUCAUUAAACAAGUAGAUUCUUCUUCCAAAUCGCCUUUCUCGUUUCCAAUCUGAAGUGGAGCAAGGUUCCAUGUGAACAGCAGUUGGACAUGGGUCAGUCGAUCCUAAGAAAACGGCGAAAGCUUGUUCGAAUUUGCGACAUGAAUUGUAAGACUGAAUAAUUAUUUGUGUGUGUGUUGUGGUGGAGGCGAUUGUGUCGUCACCAGUUGUUGUUGUGUGCAGUUGUCGUAUGUUUUCGAAAGGGAAUCCGGUUGAUAUUCCGGAACCGAGUAACGGAGACAAAGAGUAGCGCUUUAAUCUCUCUGUGGGGUUGGCGUUCAACUCAAUCGCGCGGUAACGCAAGCGAACUCGGAAAAUGACCGUCGUGAGUUUCGAAAAGAGUUUUCUUUUCUUUUUAAGGGACGCAUUCCCUGGAACCGGGUUGGAAAAUUAUUAUUAUUACCAAAUUUGAAGUUUGCAAUUUUUCGCUUCUUUGCCGCUGAAGAUGAUCUCUGGGACGCUUGAUCAUCCAUAAAUUCCGCCAACAAACCAAACGAACUCUCAGAACAUGCUGGUGACGCCUGGUAAAUCUCGUACUUGGUCGUACUGAUAUCCGCAGCAGGUCUCCAAGGUGAAUAGCCUCUGGCCGAUAGAAUAAUGUAGGUAAGGGAAGUCGGCAAAACGGAUCCGUAACUUCGGAACAAGGAUUGGCUCUAAGGGCUGGGCCGUCACGGUUCACAAAGUUUUUAAUUCUUUCUCUGGAUUUGAUCCCUGAUCUGAUCUUCUCAUCUUCCGGUGCAGUGUAUGCUUGGCUUAGUUGUGUUGAGGACUUGUUCACUUGCCACCGGUUGUUCGGCUGGUCGAGUGUAUUCGAGUCUGAAGCAGAGCUGGCCGACAGACCGGCACGUGCAGAACCUGAGCUGCGCGGCUGUCCGUUUUCGUGUACAGACCGUUUCGGUCGGCAUUCAACAGCCAACUUAGAACUGGCACGGACACAAGGAAUCUGACUGUAUAAUUAAAACAAAGCAUUGCGAUGGCCGAUGAUCGGUGAUGACGCAAUGUGAUUUCUGCCCAGUGCUCUGAAUGUCAAAGUGAAGAAAUUCAAUCAAGCGCGGGUAAACGGCGGGAGUAACUAUGACUCUCUUAAGGUAGCCAAAUGCCUCGUCAUCUAAUUAGUGACGCGUAUGAAUGGAUCAACAAGAUUCCUUCUGUCCCUAUCUACUAUCUAGCGAAACCACAGCCAAGGGAACGGGCUUGGCAAAAUCAGCGGGGAAAGAAGACCCUGUUGAGCUUGACUCUAGUCUGACUCUGUGAAGAGACAUGAAAGGUGUAGCAUAGGUGGGAGAUUGUCAAUUUGCCAUCGUUCACGCGAUGGUCCGGUGAUCGCCAAUGAAAUACCACUACUUUGAUCGUUUCUUUACUUAUUCGGUAAAGCGAAAAAAUUGUGGCCAAUUUGGCGGCGUUUAUGUCGCUGUUGGUCAUUGUUUUCAUGUUGGAUUGAAGCUUUGUUUACAGCCGUCGCUUUGUGUCUUCAUUUGGCGCAUUGUUGUACUGGGUUAUCCCAGUGUGUGAUGUGGUCACAAUGGAUGAUCGGCGAUAGGCUUGAAGUGAUUCGCUCUGAGAUCAUCACUUUUAACAGUGGUCUCUUUAAAUUGAUCACUUUUGUGAACGACUUGCUGUAAAACAUUUGGAACGGUCAGUGUUUCUGUCUUUUGACCUCGGACACAUCUCCUUCUGCAUUCUUGACUGGGGCGGUACAUCUGUUAAACGAUAACGCAGGUGUCCUAAGGUAAGCUCAGCGAGGACAGAAACCUCGCCUAGAGUAAACGGGCACAAGCUUACUUGAUUUUGAUUUCCAGUACGAAUAGAAACCGCGAAAGCGUGGCCUAUCGAUCCUUUUGAUUGUGUAGAUUUCAUGCAAGAGGUGUCAGAAAAGUUACCACAGGGAUAACUGGCUUGUGGCAGCCAAGCGUCCAUAGCGACGUUGCUUUUUGAUCCUUCGAUGUCGGCUCUUCCUAUCAUUGCGAAGCAGAAUUCGCCAAGCGUUGGAUUGUUCACCCACCAAUAGGGAACGUGAGCUGGGAUUAGACCGUCGUGAGACAGGUUAGUUUUACCCUACUGAUGACAAGUCGUUGCGAUAGUAAUCCUGCUCAGUACGAGAGGAACCGCGGGAUCAGACAUUUGGUUCAUGCGCUCGGCUGAAAGGCCGGUGGCGCGAAGCUAGCAUCUGCAAGAUUAUGACUGAACGCCUCUAAGUCAGAAUCUUUUCUAGUCAUUGGCAACGAUAAGUUGCGUCCAGACUCGAUGCGAGGAAACGAUUAGGCUUUGCUGCUAUCCGGCGAAGCCAUUAUCAGACCACGGUAGCAGGCAGUAUGGGAUUGU